rnacentral:snoRNA from 1 species
CUGAUACCAAAAAAAAAAAAUAAUAAUAAUAAUGUUUGUGUACAAUAGCUGCAAGCAGCAACCUCCUCAGUAGUGUACACAGCCUGUUGCUUAUAUGAGCUGGCCUAAGGGACUUUAGAGAGCCUG